CCUACGGGGGACAGCAGUGAGGAAUAUUGGUCAAUGGACGAGAGUCUGAACCAGCCAAGUAGCGUGAAGGAUGACUGCCCUAUGGGUUGUAAACUUCUUUUAUAUGGGAAUAAAAUGUUCCACGUGUGGGAUUUUGUAUGUACCAUAUGACUAAGGAUCGACUAACUCCGUGCCAGCAGCCGGGGUAAUACGGAGGAUCCGAGCGUUAUCCGGAUUUAUUGGGUUUAAAGGGAGCGUAGGUGGAUUGUUAAGUCAGUUGUGAAAGUUUGCGGCUGAACCGUAAAAUUGCAGUUGAAACUGGCAGUCUUGAGUACAGUAGAGGUGGGCGGAAUGCGUGGUGUAGCGGUGAAAUGCUUAGAUAUCACGAAGAACUCCGAUUGCGAAGGCAGUUCACUGGACUGCAACUGACACUGAGGCUCGAAAGUGUGGGUAUCAAACAGGAUUAGAUACCCCAGUAGUC
rnacentral:rRNA from 1 species